rnacentral:misc_RNA from 1 species
GGAGUAUAACGCUGAAGUACUAAGGCGUGUGCUUUCGGGUGAAAGGGGGCCAAUUGCAGAUGCAUUAAUACUGAAUGCCGCAGCAGCAUUAUUAGUCAGUGGGCGAGUUGGUAACUUAGCUGAAGGAGUAGCCGUGGCACGUAUGACACAUGAAUCUGGGAAAGCUCUCAAUACUCUUAAUCAUUGGAUUGCUGUUUCGAAGGAUAUUGUAUUACAUUUA